UGGUGGAGUGAUUUGUCUGGUUAAUUCCGAUAACGAACGAGACCUUAACCUGCUAAAUAGCCAGGCCGGCUUUUGCUGGUCGCCGGCUUCUUAGAGGGACUGCGGUUGCGUCUAGCCCGCGGAAGUUUGAGGCAAUAACA
rnacentral:rRNA from 1 species